rnacentral:rRNA from 1 species
GUCGAGCGAAGUCUUCGGACUUAGCGGCGGACGGGUGAGUAACGCGUGGGAACGUGCCCUUUGCUUCGGAAUAGCCCCGGGAAACUGGGAGUAAUACCGAAUGUGCCCUAUGGGGGAAAGAUUUAUCGGCAAAGGAUCGGCCCGCGUUGGAUUAGGUAGUUGGUGGGGUAAUGGCCUACCAAGCCGACGAUCCAUAGCUGGUUUGAGAGGAUGAUCAGCCACACUGGGACUGAGACACGGCCCAGACUCCUACGGGAGGCAGCAGUGGGGAAUCUUAGACAAUGGGCGCAAGCCUGAUCUAGCCAUGCCGCGUGAUCGAUGAAGGCCUUAGGGUUGUAAAGAUCUUUCAGGUGGGAAGAUAAUGACGGUACCACCAGAAGAAGCCCCGGCUAACUCCGUGCCAGCAGCCGCGGUAAUACGGAGGGGGCUAGCGUUAUUCGGAAUUACUGGGCGUAAAGCGCACGUAGGCGGAUCGGAAAGUCAGAGGUGAAAUCCCAGGGCUCAACCCU